rnacentral:rRNA from 1 species
AUUGAACGCUGGCGGCAGGCCUAACACAUGCAAGUCGAGCGGUAGAGAGAAGCUUGCUUCUCUUGAGAGCGGCGGACGGGUGAGUAAUGCCUAGGAAUCUGCCUGGUAGUGGGGGAUAACGUUCGGAAACGGACGCUAAUACCGCAUACGUCCUAUGGGAGAAAGCAGGGGACCUUCGGGCCUUGCGCUAUCAGAUGAGCCUAGGUCGGAUUAGCUAGUUGGUGAGGUAAUGGCUCACCAAGGCAACGAUCCGUAACUGGUCUGAGAGGAUGAUCAGUCACACUGGAACUGAGACACGGUCCAGACUCCUACGGGAGGCAGCAGUGGGGAAUAUUGGACAAUGGGCGAAAGCCUGAUCCAGCCAUGCCGCGUGUGUGAAGAAGGUCUUCGGAUUGUAAAGCACUUUAAGUUGGGAGGAAGGGCAUUAACCUAAUACGUUAGUGUUUUGACGUUACCGACAGAAUAAGCACCGGCUAACUCUGUGC